rnacentral:rRNA from 1 species
UACGUAGGGGGCAAGCGUUGUCCGGAAUUAUUGGGCGUAAAGCGCGUGUAGGCGGCUCGGUAAGUCUGCUGUGAAAGUCCAGGGCUCAACCCUGGAAUGCCGGUGGAUACUGUCGAGCUAGAGUCCGGAAGAGGCGAGUGGAAUUCCUGGUGUAGCGGUGAAAUGCGCAGAUAUCAGGAGGAACACCAAUGGCGAAGGCAGCUCGCUGGGACGGUACUGACGCUGAGACGCGAAAGCCAGGGGAGCAAACGGG